rnacentral:rRNA from 1 species
UACAGAGGUCCCAAGCGUUGUUCGGAUUUACUGGGCGUAAAGGGUGCGUAGGCGGUCGGGUAAGUCUGACGUGAAAUCUUCAAGCUUAACUUGGAAACUGCGUCGGAUACUAUUCGGCUCGAGGAAUGGAGGGGAGACUGGAAUACUUGGUGUAGCAGUGAAAUGCGUAGAUAUCAAGUGGAACACCAGUGGCGAAGGCGAGUCUCUGGACAUUUCCUGACGCUGAGGCACGAAAGCCAGGGGAGCAAACGGGG